rnacentral:rRNA from 1 species
GUUGAACGCUGGCGGCAGGCCUAACACAUGCAAGUCGAGCGGAUGAGGAGAGCUUGCUCUUCGAUUCAGCGGCGGACGGGUGAGUAAUGCCUAGGAAUCUGCCUGGUAGUGGGGGACAACGUUUCGAAAGGAACGCUAAUACCGCAUACGUCCUACGGGAGAAAGCAGGGGACCUUCGGGCCUUGCGCUAUCAGAUGAGCCUAGGUCGGAUUAGCUAGUUGGUGAGGUAAUGGCUCACCAAGGCGACGAUCCGUAACUGGUCUGAGAGGAUGAUCAGUCACACUGGAACUGAGACACGGUCCAGACUCCUACGGGAGGCAGCAGUGGGGAAUAUUGGACAAUGGGCGAAAGCCUGAUCCAGCCAUGCCGCGUGUGUGAAGAAGGUCUUCGGAUUGUAAAGCACUUUAAGUUGGGAGGAAGGGUUGUAGAUUAAUACUCUGCAAUUUUGACGUUACCGACAGAAUAAGCACCGGCUAACUCUGUGCCAGCCGCCGCAGUAACAC